rnacentral:rRNA from 1 species
CAUGCAAGUCGAUCGGAAAGGCCCUUCGGGGUACACGAGUGGCGAACGGGUGAGUAACACGUGGGUGAUCUGCCCUGCACUUUGGGAUAAGCCUGGGAAACUGGGUCUAAUACCGAAUACACCCUGCUGGUCGCAUGGCCUGGUGGGGGAAAGCUUUUGCGGUGUGGGAUGGGCCCGCGGCCUAUCAGCUUGUUGGUGGGGUGAUGGCCUACCAAGGCGACGACGGGUAGCCGGCCUGAGAGGGUGUCCGGCCACACUGGGACUGAGAUACGGCCCAGACUCCUACGGGAGGCAGCAGUGGGGAAUAUUGCACAAUGGGCGCAAGCCUGAUGCAGCGACGCCGCGUGAGGGAUGACGGCCUUCGGGUUGUAAACCUCUUUCAAUAGGGACGAAGCGCAAGUGACGGUACCUAUAGAAGAAGCACCGGCCAACUACGUGCCAGCAGCCGCGGUAAUACGUAGGGUGCGAGCGUUGUCCGGAAUUACUGGGCGUAAAGAGCUCGUAGGUGGUUUGUCGCGUUGUUCGUGAAAACUCACA